rnacentral:rRNA from 1 species
UGGCUCAGAUUGAACGCUGGCGGCAGGCCUAACACAUGCAAGUCGAACGGUAACAGGAAGCAGCUUGCUGCUUCGAUGACGAGUGGCGGACGGGUGAGUAAUGUCUGGGAAACUGCCUGAUGGAGGGGGAUAACUACUGGAAACGGUAGCUAAUACCGCAUAACGUCGCAAGACCAAAGAGGGGGACCUUAGGGCCUCUUGCCAUCGGAUGUGCCCAGAUGGGAUUAGCUAGUAGGUGGGGUAACGGCUCACCUAGGCGACGAUCCCUAGCUGGUCUGAGAGGAUGACCAGCCACACUGGAACUGAGACACGGUCCAGACUCCUACGGGAGGCAGCAGUGGGGAAUAUUGCACAAUGGGCGCAAGCCUGAUGCAGCCAUGCCGCGUGUAUGAAGAAGGCCUUCGGGUUGUAAAGUACUUUCAGCGGGGAGGAAGGGAGUAAAGUUAAUACCUUUGCUCAUUGACGUUACCCGCAGAAGAAGCACCGGCUAACUCCGUGCCAGCAGCCG